CCUGACUGCUAUCGGGGUGAGACUAAGCCAUGCGAGUCUAUGUCUCCGAGAUGUAGGAGACAUGGCAUACGGCUCAGUAACACGUGGCUAACCUGCCCCAUGGACGGGGACAACGUCGGGAAACUGACGCUAAUUCCCGAUAGGAAAUGAUUUCUGGAAUUGAUUCAUUUCUGAAAGCUAAGAGAGGAUUCUCUCUUAGCGCCAUGGGAUGGAGCCGCGUCCGAUCAGGUUGAUGGUGAGGUAACGGCCCACCAUGCCUAAGACCGGUACGGGCCCUGAGAGGGGGAGCCCGGAGAUGGGUCCUGAGACAAGGACCCAGGCCCUAUGGGGCGCAGCAGGCGCGAAAACUCCGCUAUGCGCGAAAGCGUGACGGGGUCACCCCGAGUGCCGAUCGCUAAGAUUGGCUUUUCCUCGGUCCAAAAGGCCGGGGGUAAUAAGGGGAGGGCAAGCUUGGUGUCAGCCGCCGCGGUAAUACCAACUCCCCGAGUGGUCAGGAUGUUUACUGGGCUUAAAGCGCCCGUAGCCGGCCUAGCAAGUUCUCUGUUAAAUCCGAUGUUCCAAGCAUUGGGCUGCAGAGAAUACUGUUGGGCUUGGGAGCGGGAGAGGUCGGCGGUACCUCUUGGGGAGGGGUAAAAUCCUUAGAUCCAGGAGGGACCAUCAGUGGCGAAGGCGGCCGGCCAGAACGCGUCCGACGGUGAGGGGCGAAAGCUGGGGGAGCGAACCGGAUUAGAUACCCGGGUAGUCCCAGUUGUAAACGAUGCGGGCUAGGCGCUGGCUCGGCUACGUGCCGAUCCAGUGUCGCAGGGAAGCCGUUAGGCCCGCCGCCUGGGGAGUACGGCCGCAAGGCUGAAACUUAAAGGAAUUGGCGGGGGAGCACCACAAGGGGUGAAGCCUGCGGUUU
rnacentral:rRNA from 1 species